UACAGAGGGGGCAAGCGUUGUUCGGAAUUACUGGGCGUAAAGGGCGCGUAGGCGGCCUUCUAAGUCGAACGUGAAAUCCCCGGGCUCAACCCGGGAACUGCGUCCGAUACUGGCAGGCUUGAAUCCGGGAGAGGGAUGCGGAAUUCCAGGUGUAGCGGUGAAAUGCGUAGAUAUCUGGAGGAACACCGGUGGCGAAGGCGGCAUCCUGGACCAACACUGACGCUGAGGAGGCGAAAGCCAGGGGAGCCAAACGGG
rnacentral:rRNA from 1 species